UCCUCCCAAAAAAAAUUUAAGAUAGAACAAUUAGCACCAACUUAAGUUUAGAAACUAGAUCAUAAAUGUACUCAGAAGCUGAAGUGGCAAAUCGAGAGCUAGAGUAGCAACUCAAAAAUUGAUGUAAUAGACUAGGAGCUGACAUUGCAUCUCAGAAGUUAAUGUAAAGGUAGAUCAGCAGUUGAUGUGGCUGCUCAAAUGCUCAAGUGAUAAAUUAAGAGCUGACAUAGAAGCACAAAAACUGAUGUGGC
rnacentral:lncRNA from 1 species